GUGGGAGGGGGCUUGCCCCCGAUAGCAGUGUGCCAGUCAGCUCACUUGUAGCUGACACACCGCAAUCGGGAGCAAGCCCCCUCCCAC
rnacentral:misc_RNA from 1 species